UAAGGAAUAUUGGACAAUGGGCGGAAGCCUGAUCCAGCCAUGCCGCGUGCAGGAAGACGGCGCUCAGCGUUGUAAACUGCUUUUGGGUGGGAACAAUAACCUCCACGAGUUGGGGGCUUGAGGGUACCAUCAGAAUAAGCACCGGCUAACUCCGUGCCAGCAGCCGCGGUAAUACGGAGGGUGCAAGCGUUAUCCGGAAUCACUGGGUUUAAAGGGUGCGUAGGCGGUUUGAUAAGUCAGUUGUGAAAUUCCCCGGCUUAACCGGUGGGACUGCGAUUGAUACUGUCAGACUUGAAUCAGGUUGAGGUAGGCGGAAUGUGGCAUGUAGCGGUGAAAUGCAUAGAUAUGCCAUAGAACACCGAUUGCGAAGGCAGCUUGCUGGACCUAGAUUGACGCUGAGGCACGAAAGCGUGGGGAGCAAACAGG
rnacentral:rRNA from 1 species